rnacentral:rRNA from 1 species
GAUUAAGCCAUGCAUGUGUAAGUAUAAAUAAUUCUACUUUGAAACUGCGAAUGGCUCAUUAUAUCAGUUAUAGUUUAUUAGAAAAAAUGUACUACUUGGAUAACCGUAGUAAUUCUAGGGCUAAUACAUGAGUAAAUCCUCGACUUUGAAGAGGUGUGUUUAUUAGUAUGAAAACCAUAUGCUUCGGCAUGAUAGUGAGUAAUAAUAACCUUUCAUAUCGUAUGUUGAAAUAACGAUAGUUCUUUCAAGUUUCUGCCCUAUCAGCUUUCGAUGGUAGUGUAUUGGACUACCAUG